CUUGCAUUGUCCCUACUUUUGUCCUGACCUUCAAACUCUAGGGGAGGCAGUAUAAUCACAAGUGCCAGGACAAUCACAAUCUUUAAUCCUGUUACGGACUUCUGUGCCUGGUGUGGCUCCUGUUUGGGUGGGAAGUGGAUGCUUCUGCAUCUCAAGCUCCCUGCUUUUCUCAGAAGAUUAUGACCUGAUGUGGUGUGGCAUAAAAAGGGGCUUUACUCACCUUCUCUGCAGUUGUCCUGCAUUUAUUUCCUUUUUAAACUCUCAUUCAUCAUUAUUCUUAUUUCUUGUAAGAGUCUGGAUUCCUUUCUUAAGGCUAUGUGCCACACCUGUGUGUAGAGUUGGUGACAGUAGAGUCAGCCUGGCAACUAGUGAGGGAGACUUCUGGAGCUGUGAUGUCACUGGAGAGCUGAAUUCCCAGCCUAUGAAGUCAUAGCUGGGAAAUUGGGUACUCAGCCUAAUCCCAAUAAUUACCCAAUGGGACUGUAAAGUGUCAAUGCAUUAGUCUAUUGCGUGAUGACUAACUAUUUAAACUCUAACACAUGCCACCAUUAAUUGCCACUUUUUGCAUUUCCCUAAGAUUCACUUAUUAGUAAGCUAUUAAACAUUCACUUGAAACGAUUGCAUUGUAAUGAACUGAGAUCACUGCUCACACAGCCAUUGCAAUGCGCAAACUGGUAGGAAAGCACCUAAAAUCCUGUGAUGGGAGUGAUUUUAGGAUGGCAGAGUAAACAAACUAAUAUACAGAUAUAACAUCACCCUCACCAGUCAUUCCUAUUUCAGGAUCUGUGCGACCAUCAUCAGUUUCACUUUGUUAUGCAAAACUGAUGGACUGAAGGACUUUAAGUCCAAGUUUCCCAUGCCCUGGGCUGACAAGAUGAGGGUCUUGAGGAAGGAACAGCAACUUGAAGGAAACGAAUCAUUGCUUUUUAGAAAGGUUGCUUUGAAAUCAGAAGCAGAAAUGAAACUAUUUUAAUCCCAAACACUCUGUAGAAUUGAAAGUUUGAUUCAAGUUUGUUCUUUCUUGUCAUCUUCUUGUUGAGAAGUUCAGUGUGGGAGGAAUUUCUCAGGAAGAGCUUCUUCAUCACAACCUGGGCAUUGCCUGGUCGGACCACCAAAGGGGAACAUUCCCUCUUCAAGGGUUACAGCCCAUAAAAAUGGCAAAGGUUCUGCUUCCUUCUUUCCUUUUUUCUCCUGCUUUUGUGAGGACAGAUGACUAAUGAGUGGAGCAGUUGAAGCCCCCCAUCAGGUUGAUGUCCUGAGCAGGCUUGCUCCUGCAGGGAAUGCAUGAUGGAAUGGAUUUCCUGGUCAGGGCAGCCUCUCUGCUCCUCAGGCAUGCUCAGGUUUUCCUAGUUUCCAGGCCCCUUUCCACACCACAUGCAGUUCCAGCCACAGGUACUGAAGAAGCAGAGAGGCCAGAUCAGCCUCUUGGGGAGAGGGGAGAUUGCAGUCGGAUCACUGCAAACAGGACUUCAUUAAUUAUAAAUGGACAGAUUCUCUUGAGUUGCUGUAGCUCUGCAUGAGUCCUAUUCUAGCUGAGGUUUUUUUUUUUUUUUCUCCUGAGGAGUUGCUGAAGGGGCUCUAAAUAGUGUGAUGGAAAAAUAAGGAACCAGCUGUGCUCUGCAGCCAGCUCAACCAGGGCCUUUCUACAGCAGUAGCCGACUGCAAUCUCCUCUCUGCCUCACUCUGCACUUCCAUCUCUUGGGUUCUGCCAUCUGGUCCUGCUCUGCAGGUUUCUUCUUCCUAGCAACAUGUUUUUGUCUCCUCUAGUAACCUCUUUUUCAGCAUAGUAAUGCUUGGACAUACAUUUAGACAACAGCACGAUCAAGAAGUCCAGUUGUGGGACACCCCAUUGCCUGGUCUGUGCCUCCACCUUGGAGAUGGUCCUGGUUGAAUGAAAGCAGAAGGAACAAUAAAACCAGCAAACCUUGGCUUUCGACUAGGAAGUGCC